rnacentral:rRNA from 1 species
GAGUGCAACAGGGAUUGGGAUGCCCCUUUCGUC